UGCAGUAGCCAUUGAUCUGUUUGGACACACCCUUUAUUAUUCCUGUGGAUGUAAUGCGCAUGCGCGCUCAUUCCCCACGUGUGAGAAACCAAGGUCCAGAUCCAGAUCCUCCUGGCAGAAUCAUCUUUGUCUUGAGGGCCUGGUAAGCCACAAAACACUACCAUAUAACAAUAUAGAUAACAAUAUGCAUGUACACAGGUCUGAUAUUAUAUACACUGAACUACAGAUCCUGGAAGAAUCAAUUUUCUUCUUUCUUGAGGUCCUGGAUCGUCACAAGAGGAGCCUACUAGCAGAAACCAAACAGUAGAAAUUGCACAACAACGGUCGUCCAUUGUUCUGACUGGAGAUGAUAUUCUAACAAUUUGUGAGAAGCUGAGAAGUGCAAGCAAAGAUUGGUUCAACUUGGGACUGGCUCUCGGAAUGAAGAUUACCGACUUGGAAGACAUUGAAGAUGCAUACCGCCAUAACCAACGCCGCCUAAUGAAGAUGGUAACCAAGCGUCUUGAAGUCACUGAUCCAGAGCACCCGAUGACAUGGCCUUACAUAUGUGAAUGUCUAAGGAGUCCUACUGUUGAGCGUAACGAUGUAGCCGAGGAAAUUGAAGACAAGUAUGUGAAGACAGCAACUGCAGUUGCUCAUAGUGCCACCAAUUGAUCAUAAGAACCUGACAAGCUUGAAGGGGACGAAUAAAGUAAAGAAGCAUAAAGAAGCGUCCAUGCAAGAAUUAAGUAAAGAACUGACUGACUCUGUGCUAACAAUGUCGUCUAUAUAGCCAUUAUUAUAAAGUAUGAGUACUGUGACAUGUUCAAGCAUUGUUCCUUUGUUCCUUGUAAGGGAUCAGCAUCUUAUUCUUAUAAUAAUUAUUUAUAAUUGAGGUGUUUGUUUGACGAUCCUUACCCACUGGCCAUGUUGUGCAAUGAGGGUCAACAAAAUACUUGUACACUAGCGCUACUCGCAAGCACGGCGCUGCUACUACUAACCGUCUACGUAUACCUCAACAACACAAGUCUCUCCUGUCAUAAAGAGCUACCACCAGUACAGCAUCCUGUACAGAAAGUUAUCGGUGGUCAGGUAUCCAGCGCUGAACAGAAUAUUGACCAGCGACUACUCUUUGAAAAACCUAUCAAAUGGUGUAUUUAGAUUAGCGAUUGCUUUAAUUUAUAAUGUCAGCAAUUUCCCCCGGCCCUCUCUCCUAGGUUGGUUGCAGGAACAUGAAACGUCUCAUGCUGUACAUGAGUGACAGUCUACCAAUGUACACUCUGGACUGGCCCUGGGUAGACUACAACAAGUUGCUAGUAUGUUCCACGUUCUGUGUGCAGUGUACAAAGCUGUAUAGUGGCCAGAGAACCAGCAAAACAAAACUAGAAGUGUCUACCCUGAAAUAAUUUUCUCUCUCUCUCCUUCAACGAACAUCAGCGAAUCUUUCACGAAAUUGGGAAUUAAAGACACUUCACAAAAUAUUCUCCUAGUGAAACUGCAUUCAAAUGAGGCUGAUGCAAAGAUCGAUCUAGCCACUACCCACAUCAUCUGAAAAGCCUCUCUCUAAGCGUUAAUGGAGCCGUUCAAAGAUUCUUUUUUCCCCACUCCCUUUCUUCCACUAUUAUGCAUUUCUUUGAUCACUACAACCUGUAACCAUUCAUUAUUUUCUCACUCAGGCGUCUGAUUUAUUGGGCAUGAUUGAGGGUGACCUAACACCAUUGCAAGACAUCCACUCGUGUAAUAAUACACAGAGUAUAAUCAAGGAGCACAAGAUUCCUCCUGAAGAGCUGAUGAUAUAUGCUCACUAGAGAACUGUGUAGUUACUAGGCUAGUCAUCAAACACAUUACCUAGGUCACCACAGUUAAUGUGUUAUUGUUUAUUGUGUGGUGGCUAUAGAUAAUCAGUUCCAUUAUCAACACCCACACAUUCUUUUCUCUCCACUUCUCUAGAUCUAAUGGAACUCUAUAAACUUGUAUAUAGACGCCUUUUGAGUGGGCCAAUAAUAAUCAUGUCUCUAUAAUCAAGGCAUAUAACUUUUUCAGUGCAGUUGGCAAACAAUGAACGAUUAUAUGGAAUGGG